rnacentral:rRNA from 1 species
UACGUAGGUGGCAAGCGUUGUCCGGAUUUACUGGGCGUAAAGGGCGCGUAGGCGGCCGUUCAAGUCGGGGGUGAAAGCCUGUGGCUCAACCACAGAAUGGCCCUCGAUACUGGAUGGCUCGAGACCGGAAGAGGUUGGUGGAACUGCGAGUGUAGAGGUGAAAAUUCGUAGAUAUUCGCAAGAACACCAGUGGCGAAGGCGGCCAACUGGUCCGGUUCUGACGCUGAGGCGCGAAAAGCGUGGGGGAGCAAACAGG